rnacentral:rRNA from 1 species
AGGACGAACGCUGGCGGCGUGCUUAACACAUGCAAGUCGAACGAGGUCCAAGGUGUCGCAAGACACUGGAAGACCGAGUGGCGAACGGGUGCGUAACACGUGAGAAACCUGUCCCGAUCUCUGGAAUAACAGUUGGAAACAGCUGCUAAUACCGGAUGUCGUCAGACCAUCGCAUGGUGGACUGACGAAAGGGUUACCGGAACGGGAGGUCUCGCGGCCUAUCAGCUUGUGGUGAGGUAUGGCUCACCAAGGCAUCGACGGGUAGCCGUGUGAGAGGAGUGAGUCAGCCACACGUGGACGUGAGACGACCGG